rnacentral:rRNA from 1 species
CCUACGGGUGGCAGCAGUAGGGAAUAUUGCUCAAUGGGGGAAACCCUGAAGCAGCAACGCCGCGUGGAGGAUGACGGUCCUCGGAUUGUUAACCCUCUUUGUUAGAGAAGAUAAUGACGGUAUGUAACGAAUAAGCACCGGCUAACUCCGUGCCAGCAGCCGCGGUAAUACGGCGGGUGCAAGCGUUACUCGGAAUCACUGGGCGUAAAGAGGGCGUAGGCGGGUUAGCAAGGCAGGUGGGAAAUCCUAGGGGUUAACCAUAGAACUGCAUUUGAAACUGUUAUUCUAGAGUGUGGGAGAGGUAGGUGGAAUUCUUGGUGUAGGGGUGAAAUCCAUAGAGAUCAAGAAGAAUUCUCAUUGCGAAGGCAGCCUACUAGAACAUAACUGACGCUGAUGCACGAAAGCGUGGGGAGCAAACAGGAUUAGAUACCCCGGUAGUC